AUAAUAAUUAGUCUUUUAAAUGAAGGCUGGAAUGAAUGAUUGGACGAGGUAAAUUCUGUCUCAUUAAAAUUAAAAUUUAAAUUUAAUUUUUAAGUUAAAAAGCUUAAAUAUUAUUAAAGGACGAGAAGACCCUAUAGAGCUUUAUAAUAUACUUAUGAAUAAAUUUUAAUUUUAUUUUAUUAAUUAAAUAUUAUUUUGUUGGGGCGAUAGGAAAAUUUAUUUAACUUUUUUAAUUUUAUUACAUUUAUUUAUGAGUUUUUGAUCCUAAAUUUUAGAUUAUUAGAUUAAGUUACCUUAGGGAUAACAGCGUAAUUUUUUUUUAGAGUUCAUAUUAAUAAAAAAGAUUGC
rnacentral:rRNA from 1 species